AUACGGAGGGUGCGAGCGUUAAUCGGAAUCACUGGGCGUAAAGCGCGCGCAGGCGGGCUGAUAAGUUGGAUGUGAAAGCCUACGGCUCAACCGUAGAACUGCAUCCAAAACUGUCAGUCUAGAGUGUGGGAGAGGAAGAUGGAAUUAGUUGUGUAGGGGUAAAAUCCGUAGAGAUAACUAGGAAUACCAAAAGCGAAGGCAAUCUUCUGGAACACUACUGACGCUGAGGCGCGAAGGCGUGGGGAGCAAACAGGAUUAGAAACCCUAGUAGUCC
rnacentral:rRNA from 1 species